rnacentral:tRNA from 1 species
GUUUCUGUAGUUGAAUACAACGGUGGUUUUUCAAGUCACUGGUCUUGGUUAAAAUCCUAGUGGAAACU